rnacentral:lncRNA from 1 species
AUUGAUUUCCCAGAAUUCCUGAACCUCAUGGCGAGGAAGAUGAAAGACACUGAUUCGGAGGAGGAGCUGAAGGAGGCCUUUCGUGUGUUUGACAAGGAUCAGAACGGUUUCAUCUCUGCUGCAGAGCUCCGCCAUGUGAUGACCAACCUUGGCGAGAAGCUGACCGACGAAGAGGUGGACGAGAUGAUCCGCGAGGCAGACGUUGACGGUGACGGGCAGAUCAACUAUGAGGAGUUUGUCAAAGUCAUGAUGGCCAAGUGAGGACCAACCAACCAUAACAAAAAAAUUUGAAAAGCACAUGAACAGAAAAAGGACAGGGCAGAUAAGUUUUGAUGAGAAUUCUAUUUUCAUUAGGACAAACUUCAUUUGGGGUCAUUAGUUUUUGUUGGUCGGGUUUGUUUGCUCUUAUUUAAUUGGUAUUGCUCAUUAGUGUUUCUACUUCUACUUCUACUUGUGUGCUGUGUCCCUUGUUUUAGUAGCUUCACCAUGCAUUUGUACUUCACUUGUCAUCUUUUUUGGGUUACUACUAUGAACCUCGAACAAUUGGUUGCAAUUUGUGCUUUUACAUGUGAGUGAGUGACUUAUACUGUUAAUACCAUCUUUAUGCUAUACAUGAUUGUUUGUGACCAUCUUGCAUUUCUCGACCUCACUCCAACAAUGAUGCAAUGCAAUGCAAAGCCAGUGAACCAAAACAAAACUGUAUUUUGUUUCAUUUCUCAUGUGAA